rnacentral:rRNA from 1 species
ACGAACGCUGGCGGCGUGCUUAACACAUGCCAGUCGAACGGAAAGGCCCUGCUUUUGUGGGGUGCUCGAGUGGCGAACGGGUGAGUAACACGUGAGUAACCUGCCCUUGACUUUGGGAUAACUUCAGGAAACUGGGGCUAAUACCGGAUAGGAGCUCCUGCUGCAUGGUGGGGGUUGGAAAGUUUCGGCGGUUGGGGAUGGACUCGCGGCUUAUCAGCUUGUUGGUGGGGUAGUGGCUUACCAAGGCUUUGACGGGUAGCCGGCCUGAGAGGGUGACCGGCCACAUUGGGACUGAGAUACGGCCCAGACUCCUACGGGAGGCAGCAGUGGGGAAUAUUGCACAAUGGGCGGAAGCCUGAUGCAGCAACGCCGCGUGCGGGAUGACGGCCUUCGGGUUGUAAACCACUUUCGCCUGUGACGAAGCGUGAGUGACGGUAAUGGGUAAAGAAGCACCGGCUAACUACGUG